rnacentral:rRNA from 1 species
CCCUUAGAUGUCCUGGGCCGCACGCGCGUUACACUGAUGCAUUCAACGAGCUUAUAACCUUGGCCGAGAGGCCUGGGCAAUCUUGUUAACGUGGAUCGUGAUAGGGAUAGAUUAUUGAAAUUAUUAAUCUUGAACGAGGAAUUCCUAGUAAACGCAGAUCAUCAAUCUGCAUUGAUUACGUCCCUGCCCUUUGUACACACCGCCCGUCGCACCUACCGAUUGGAUGGUCCGGUGAAGCCUCGGGAUUGUGGUUCUUGCCGCUUUAUUGUGGCGUGACCGCGAGAACUUGUCUAAACCUUAUCAUCUAGAGGAAGGUGAAGUCGUAACA